AGGCAGUUACAGACGUCACUAUCGACCAGUUAUGCACUCCGUUUAUAAAAAGGGACCCCCAGAUACAUUCUUCUCUAAGCUCAAAAACUCUAUCCCAAAACUCUGCUAAAAUUCUCACUCGAACACUCCAUUUCUGUUGAAGCAGAGUACUGACUUGAGCAUCGAAGGAUCUUACCGGAGCACCCCCAACUCCGGUUGAGACUUCCCUUGCAGGUCCCG
rnacentral:lncRNA from 1 species